AAAACUGAAGGCAAGGGCCUGCCUCUAUCCUCACCACCACCGCCGACAAGAAACAGACCUCCCUCGUACCAUUUAAUUCAAACAUUUUCGUUAAUUUGAAAUUUGGGUUCUUGAGGAAGUUGUUAGGAUUCUCUCAAUAUAUGGCUUCUACUGUGAGAGAAGUAGUUGAUCGGAUCAAAGGUCCAUGGAGUCCUGAAGAAGACGAGGCGUUACAAAGGCUGGUGCAAAGCUAUGGCCCCAGAAACUGGUCCUUGAUAAGCAAAUCGAUUCCUGGGCGAUCUGGAAAGUCGUGCCGGUUGCGAUGGUGCAACCAGCUUUCCCCUGAGGUCGAACACAGACCUUUUUCACCUGAAGAAGACGAAACCAUUACCCGGGCCCAUGCUCGUUUCGGCAACAAGUGGGCUACCAUCGCUCGCCUCCUCAAUGGCCGCACAGAUAACGCCAUAAAAAACCAUUGGAACUCCACUCUCAAGCGAAAAUGCUCCUCCUUCUCUGACGACUUAAGCGACGAUGCACCUGCCCAACAGCCUCUCAAAAGAUCCGCCAGCGUAGGUGCGGGUGCGGUUUCGGGUCUUCAAUUGAACCCGGGCAGUCCUUCCGGAUCCGAUAUCAGCGAUUCCAGCUUGCCCGGUAUGGCUUCUUCUCCAGUUUACAGGCCUCUGGCGAGAACGGGUUCCCUUGGCCAGCCGGGUCUUUCAAUCGAUGCUGCCUCUUCUACUACGGAUCCGCCGACUUAUUUAAGCCUCUCUCUUCCUGGAUCCGAUUCUUGCGAAGCCUCAAAUCAAGUAUCUGUUUCCGGGUCAGGAUCCGGAUUGAAUCAGGGAGGAAACGCGACACAUGUUGUACAAACUCGGGUGGUGCCGCCAACUGCUGUGCCGGUGCAGCAAGCUGUAGAUGUACAACAGAACGGAGUUAGGUUUGAGAAGCAGUUUUUCAGUCCUCAGUUUUUGGCAAUGAUGCAGGAGAUGAUAAGGGAGGAAGUGGGAAGAUACAUGUCUGGUAUUUAGCAUAAUGGGCUGGGAUUGCAAACUGAGGCCAUAAGGAACGCCGUGGUUAAGCGUAUUGGGAUUUAGCAUAAACGAGUAGACAGAGUAGUGUCUGUUGAUAUUAAGGUAAUUGAGCCGUCAUUUAAAAAAAAAAAAAAGAAAGGACCGAGCUGAGUCGACUCAGCAAGAAUCCGAGAGAGAGAUAAGAGAAGUGGACGGGAAAUGGUCUUUGUUUAAUUAAGUUGCUUUAAUCGUUCAUCGUUGAUUUAUACAGAAACAAUAAUUUUGGUAGUGUACAGAGGAACAAAUGGGUAUUUUAAAGGGUUGGAUGGAGAAGACGAUCUCUGAUAAACUUAAAAAAAAAAUCUCUCGAUUUUUAUAUAUGUUCAUUCUCGUUUUUCUUUUUCUUUUAAUUUUAACACCAGAUGUUUAAGGGGGGGAAAAAAAGAGAGAGUAAUGAAGUAGCGUUGCCUCAUUCAAUGGGUAAUUUCUAUAGUUUUACCUCAUUUGUGUUCAAUUUAAAAAAACAAUAAAAUUGCUCCCG
rnacentral:misc_RNA from 1 species